rnacentral:rRNA from 1 species
GGUUCGUCGCGUCCGGUGUGAAAGUCCAUCGCUUAACGGUGGAUCCGCGCCGGGUACGGGCGGGCUUGAGUGCGGUAGGGGAGACUGGAAUUCCCGGUGUAACGGUGGAAUGUGUAGAUAUCGGGAAGAACACCAAUGGCGAAGGCAGGUCUCUGGGCCGUUACUGACGCUGAGGAGCGAAAGCGUGGGGAGCGAACAGGAUUAGAUACCCUGGUAGUCCACGCCGUAAACGGUGGAUGCUGGAUGUGGGGCCCGUUCCACGGGUUCCGUGUCGGAGCUAACGCGUUAAGCAUCCCGCCUGGGGAGUACGGCCGCAAGGCUAAAACUCAAAGAAAUUGACGGGGGCCCGCACAAGCGGCGGAGCAUGCGGAUUAAUUCGAUGCAACGCGAAGAACCUUACCUGGGCUUGACAUGUUCCCGACGAUCCCAGAGAUGGGGUUUCCCUUCGGGGCGGGUUCACAGGUGGUGCAUGGUCGUCGUCAGCUCGUGUCGUGAGAUGUUGGGUUAAGUCCCGCAACGAGCGCAACCCUCGCCCCGUGUUGCCAGCGGAUUAUGCCGGGAACUCACGGGGGACCGCCGGGGUUAACUCGGAGGAAGGUGGGGAUGACGUCAGAUCAUCAUGCCCCUUACGUCCAGGGCUUCACGCAUGCUACAAUGGCCGGUACAACGGGAUGCGACAGUGCGAGCUGGAGCGGAUCCCUGAAAACCGGUCUCAGUUCGGAUCGCAGUCUGCAACUCGACUGCGUGAAGGCGGAGUCGCUAGUAAUCGCGAAUCAGCAACGUCGCGGUGAAUGCGUUCCCGGGCCUUGUACACACCGCCCGUCAAGUCAUGAAAGUGGGCAGCACCCGAAGCCGGUGGCCUAACCCCUUGCGGGAGGGAGCCGUCU